UACGAGUGCCCCAAGCGUUAUCCGGAAUCAUUGGGCGUAAAGGGUGUGUAGGUGGUCUGUUUAGUCUUCUGUUAAAUUCUUGGGCUUAACCCAAGACUUGCGGAGGAUACGGGCAGGCUUGAGGAUGCGAGGGGUGAAUGGAACUCAUGGUGUAGGGGUGAAAUCCGUUGAUAUCAUGGGGAACACCAAAAGCGAAGGCAAUUCACUGGCGUAUUCCUGACACUGAGACACGAAAGCGUGGGUAGCGAACGGG
rnacentral:misc_RNA from 1 species